AGUCUGCAGCCGCGACGUCUGAUGUUAGGGACUAGAACUGAGAUCUCUGCUGUGGGCCACCUUCUUCUCUGCUGAUCUCUUCCUGGGACUUCCAGACACAGAGACCUCAGUAGGAGCUGCUGCUUCCAAGAAGGUACAUUGAGAAAGGGAAAGAAGAGCCAGCAUUGCAUGGCAUACCUGGGGUACAGAUGAGUGUAAGGAAUGAAAAUUUAAUAAGGAGGAAGACUCUGCAACUCACUGCUCCUGAAACACAAGAUGAACCCCUUUAUCUUUGACCCCGCCUUCAUGUCCUGAAGACUGCUAGCUCUUCGCAUACUACCAUUCUCCCUAGUGCAAUUCAUGCCAUAGGUAUUGGUGACUUCCACUCUGGCCUCUCCGUUUCUUGAAUUUCUCUCCUCCAAUACUCUUGUCCUACAGUCUUCCUUAGGCACUCAUUCUAUUGUCUGUACCCUAGAUCAGCAGUUCUCAAGAAGUAAUCCAAUGUAUCCUAGGUCUCCAAGAUACUUUCAGGGGGCUUAUGGUGUAAAACCAUUUUUAUACUACUACCAAGAUGUUACUUACCUUUUUUCUUUUUCUCAUCUCACAUGUGUACAGUGUUUUCCAGAGGUUACAUGACAUGUAAUGCCACAACAGAUUGACUACAGAAGCAGGUAGGAUAAUCCAGUUGCCUUCUAUUCAGCCACACGUUAAAGAGAUGUGCAAAAACAUGAAAAAGUACCACUCCUCUCACUAAUUU
rnacentral:lncRNA from 10 species